UGGCGAGGGGGUGGGGAGGCGGCACGGAAAAGUAAAGUGACAGCCGACUUCUGUGAGAGGGGAGCCAGAUGUGUCAUAGAGAAGAAACAGAAUGAAAAGAGAUGCAGGAAUUCAGGCUGCCAUAUACUUUCUUAAACAAGCAACACUUGUCUCUAAUUUGACAGAGAAAAGAUCCAGUAAUGUCCCUGGCUCACUCCCCAACCUGCCUCCCCAUAGGAAGCCCUGUCUAGGGUCACCUCUCCUGCAUUUAAUGGAAAUGUCUUCACAUUUUUCAAUCUGGAGCAGUGGUGAAUAUAGUUUUUGAGUGGAUCUGUUUCCACAGGUCAUGCAGAAUCUUACUGGAUAAGGUCGCUGUGCCCUGCUCUCUCUUCCCUCAGCCGUGGUCUCAGCGAGGCCCUCACUCAUCUGAGUCAUCGUGAUGGCCGCCCAGCUGGUGCCUCAGUUGGUCCCACUCUGCACCCAUCUCCCCACCCCUCCAAGCUUCGAAAGUACUCUUUUAAAAAUGCAUGCCUUUGUUCCACAUGGCUUCCAGAAUAGAAUUAAAAUUUCUCAGCCAAGAACAAGGCCCGUCAAGAA